GCAUCGGUGGUUCAGUGGUAGAAUGCUCGCCUGCCACGCGGGCGACCCGGGUUCGAUUACAUAGUGCU
rnacentral:tRNA from 1 species